rnacentral:lncRNA from 1 species
GGCGGAUUUCCGCGGCAUGCUUACGGUGUGCCUGGCUCUCCCGGGCCUUCUUUGCCUCCCGGGAUUAAAGACAAGCUAAUAUAGGGGCACAAAAAAUCCUCUAAUACAACGUAUAGAACUAGAGAGCAGCUGAUAAAAAUCUGGGCCAGUUUAGAGAAGAGAGUGUUCACAACCAGCUGGGGGAACUGAGUCAUUCAUUCAUCAAAAACGCAUGAAUGUCUACCAAGUGUGAUGUUAGGUACUGGGGGUGAUAAAACGUGUGUCAGACAUCUCUUAUGGCAUGUCACACAUUGGACUAUAAUUGGGACAUUUGUAUCUCCCCGAAAUAGACAUUUCCUGUCUGCAUCUCCUAGCAACAGAAUUCUCCCGUCCUUUGGGAAACCCUCCUCAGGAGCGAGUGGGCUCCUCUGCCAAGCGUGUGCAAUCAUAGAGCCUCUCCUCUUGGCUACCACCACCAGUCUUCCAUCCUCUUCCACCCACACAUGUUCAUUUAAGGAUGGGUGUGUGACCAAGACAGAAGACUUCCCUGGAAUUAUUACAUAAAGAGGGAUAGAUAAGCAUUCUAUUUCCUGUGGGGAAGGUUUGCCCUCACUAGUAGACAAUGAAGCCAAACUGAAGACAGAAACAAAGAUAAGAGAAAGAAGAGGGCAUAUUCUGAUGUUCCCACAAUAGCAAACCAGGAGGUCCCUGGAGCAGCCGGGGUUCCUGCAGCUUCUGGAUUCUAGGAUCUACCCCCAGCAUCCUCUGAAUUUAAACCGGUACUUUUACUAUCUUAAGCUAGUAAAAAUUGACUUUUUGUCACUCACAGCUCAAAGAGCCCCAGUAUGAGAAACCACAUGGAGGAGGUUUUAUUUGGACUUGACGUUGAAAAAACAAGCAGACUUUAGGCUAGCAAAAAUUUAGAAGACUUUCUAGGCCAGAAGGUGGCAAACUAUGGCCCACAGGCGAAGUCUAGCCCACUGGAUUUGAAUGACUGCUUUUUAUGUGUUUAAAUGAUUAUAUUUUAAGUGGUUAUAUAAAUACAACAUACUGUUUUCAAUUUUGCCUCUUAGGUCUCACAGUGUAAAAUAUUUACUAUUGGACUUUUUUCGGAAAAAGUUUGCUGAUCCCCGUACUAGGCAGAAAGAACACCUAUCCAUUGUCUCUGUUUCUCUGUCAUGCUCUGCCCUGGAAGGCUGACAUGAAUACAUCACCAGGCUUCCUUGCCCUGUAGCUUCCUGUUGAGUUGGACCAGUACAAAGCAUUGGCAGAAAAUCAAAAGGAGGGAGAAAGGAAAUAUCAGGUCCUCAGGUGCCUUGACCAGGAUGAUCCUUCUCACAUUCUGCAGAAUAUCCUGGUGGUCCACUCUACAGAUGACAUCAUUCUCAUUGACCUGAAGCACACCCUGAGACAAGUAUUCAAGAGCAAGUAGUUUAUUUGGGAGGAAAUACCAGAAGAAAUUGAUGGGAUGAGGAGAAGUGAGCCCAGGAAAGGAAGAAAAUAAUAGAGUAUGCUUUCAAGCAAGUUACCACUGUGGCCAACUGGAGCAUAAUCCACUAGGGAACUUGGGGUCAAGGUGAAGAACACACUUCAGAGUUGUCUCAACCAAGGUUAAGAAGCUGG